AUUGAACGCUGGCGGCAGGCCUAACACAUGCAAGUCGAGCGAGCGGCGGACGGGGGCGUAAUGCCUGCGAAUUGUCAAGUCGAGGUGGAUAACAGUUGGCAACGACUGCUAAUACCGCAUACGACUGUCUUUCCCAGGGGGGAUUAGCUAGUUGGUGAGGUAGUGGCUCACCAAGGCGACGAUCCCUAGCUGAUCUGAGAGGAUGAUCGGCCACACUGGAACUGAGACACGGUCCAGACUCCUACGGGAGGCAGCAGUGGGGAAUAUUGCACAAUGGGGGAAACCCUGAUACAGCCAUGCCGCGUGUGUGAAGAAGGCCUUCGGGUUGUAAAGCACUGUCAGCGAGGAGGCGGUAUUCGCAGAGGAAGCACCGGCUAACUCCGUGCCAGCAGCCGCGGUAAUUC
rnacentral:rRNA from 1 species